AAGUCGUAACAAGGUUUCCGUAGGUGAACCUGCGGAAGGAUCAUUACCAAUAUAAAUUAUUCAAACCCAUGUGCACUGUGAAUUAAUGUCUUGGUUUUUGGGGUGGGGGGCCUUUAACGGUUCCACCCCAGCCAUUUUGUUUAACUUCGUUUUACAAUUGUCAUGGCAUCGAAACUUGUCUUAAUAAAUUAUUAUGACAACUUUUAACGGUGGACCUCUUGGCUCGUGG
rnacentral:misc_RNA from 1 species